rnacentral:tRNA from 3 species
GGAGGAGUGGCAGAGUGGUUGAAUGCACUGGUCUUGAAAACCAGCGUGCCUUCACGGGUACCGGGAGUUCGAAUCUCCCCUCCUCCGCCA